GGGUUAAGUCCCGCAACGAGCGCAACCCUUGCCAUCAGUUGCUACGAAAGGGCACUCUGAUGGGACUGCCGGUGACAAACCGGAGGAAGUGGGGAUGACGUCAAGUCCUCAUGGCCCUUAUAGGUGGGGCUACACACGUCAUACAAUGGCCGGUACAAAGGGCAGCCAACCCGCGAGGGGGGAGCCAAUCCCAUAAAGCCGGUCGUAGUCCGGAUCGCAGUCUGCAACUCGACUGCGUGAAGUCGGAAUCGCUAGUAAUCGUGGAUCAGCAUGUCACGGUGAGUACGUUCCCGGGUCUU
rnacentral:rRNA from 1 species